UACGGAGGAUGCAAGCGUUAUCCGGAUUUAUUGGGUUUAAAGGGUGCGCAGGCGGAUCGGUAAGUCAUGGGUGAAAAGUUGGGGCUUAACUCCAAUCGUGCCUAUGAUACUGCCGGACUAGAGUGCAAGGGGCGUAACUGGAAUGUGGUGUGUAGCGGUGAAAUGCUUAGAUAUGCCACAGAACGCCGAUCGUGAAGACAGGUUACGAACUUGCUACUGACGCUCAUGCACGAAAGCGUGGGGAU
rnacentral:rRNA from 1 species